rnacentral:rRNA from 1 species
AUUGAACGCUGGCGGCAUGCCUUACACAUGCAAGUCGAACGGCAGCACGGGAGCAAUCCUGGUGGCGAGUGGCGAACGGGUGAGUAAUACAUCGGAACGUGCCCAGUAGUGGGGGAUAACUACGCGAAAGCGUAGCUAAUACCGCAUACGCUGUGAGCAGGAAAGCGGGGGAUCGCAAGACCUCGCGCUAUUGGAGCGGCCGAUGUCAGAUUAUCUAGUUGGUGGGGUAAAAGCUCACCAAGGCGACGAUCUGUAGCUGGUCUGAGAGGACGACCAGCCACACUGGGACUGAGACACGGCCCAGACUCCUACGGGAGGCAGCAGUGGGGAAUGUUGGACAAUGGGGGCAACCCUGAUCCAGCCAUGCCGCGUGUGCGAAGAAGGCCUUCGGGUUGUAAAGCACUUUUGGCAGGAACGAAACGGUUUGCGUUAAUACCGCGAACUAAUGACGGUACCUGCAGAAGAAGCCCCGGCUAACUUCGUGCCAGCCGCCGCGGUAA